rnacentral:rRNA from 1 species
CCUACGUGAUGCUGCAGUGAGGAAUAUUGGUCAAUGGGCGGGAGCCUGAACCAGCCAAGCCGCGUGAGGGAAGAAGGUACAGCGUAUCGUAAACCUCUUUUGUCAGGGAACAAAGGCGGGGACUAGUCCCCGGAUGAGGGUACCUGAAGAAAAAGCAUCGGCUAACUCCGUUCCAGCAGCCGCGCUAAUACGGAGGAUGCGAUCGUUAUCCGGAUUUAUUGGGGUUAAAGGAUGCGCAGGCGGCAUGUUACGUCAGCGGUAAAAGCCCGGGGCUCAACCCCGGCGCGACGUUGAAACUGGCUGGCUGGAGUUGGAGAGAAGUACGCAGAAUGCGCGGUGUAGCGGUAAAAUGCUUAGAUAUCGCGCAGAACCCCGAUUGCGAAGGCAGCGUACCGGCUCCACACUGACGCUGAGGCACGAAAGCGUGGGUAUCGAACAGGAUUAGAUACCCGUGUAGUC